rnacentral:lncRNA from 10 species
GGCGGGUGGAUCACCUGAGGUCAGAGUUUGAGACCAGCCUGGCUAACAUAGUGAAAUCCUGUUUCUACUAAAAAUACAAAAUUAGCUGGGCCUGGUGGUGCAUGCCUGUAAUCCCAGCUACUUGGGAGGCUGAGGCAGGAGAAUUGUUUGAACCCGGGAGGCAGAGGUUGCAGUGAGUCAAGAUCGCACCACUGCACUCCAGCCUGGGUGACAAUAGCGAAACUCUGUCCCCCGCUCCCCCACCCAAAAAAACAAAGAAUACAUUGCUUCCCCCUAUAUUUUCUUCUAAGAGUUUUUUGGUUUUAGCUCUUCUAUUUAGGUCACUGAUAAAUUGGAGUUAUUUUUGUUUAUAGCAAGAGUCGCAAUUUGUAAUUGGUUUUGUGGUUCUAGAUUUGCAAAAGGAAGACCAGAAUGUUUUACCCAUUCCCACCCUUCUCCUUCAAGAAAAUAAUAAAAACAAAACCUAGAAAGACCAAGGACAAAUUAUGGCUUAAAGAUAACAUGAUACUAGAUACUAAAAUGUUGCUGAUUGUAGAGCAUGCUCUUGACCAACUGAGAUCUUUGGUUUUCCCAGGAAAUUGUUGAAGUUCUUUACUUCCUCUUCUCAUUUCUAUGUCUUCUCCACCCUCAUACACUAUCACCCAGUAUGACUUCCAUUCUCUAGUCUUAAUGAAGGUGUGAUUUGUAUCAUAUCCGCAGACACUAAGCCUCCUUCAUACUCUUGUACCGUGUGCACUGUGAAUGCUGAUCCCAAUUUUAAUGUAGCACUGUUAGAAGUCUCAGUAUCACAUAUAAGCAGUGGGUACAAACCAGCCUAAUAAAAGCAUGUGGGUGAAAUCCAUAUGGAAAGAAUGUAUAAAUGAUGUUAAAGACAUCAUUUGUUAAAUAAGUUAAAGAUGGAAAAUAUUGAUUAGACAGUGAGGCA